rnacentral:rRNA from 1 species
UACGUAGGGGGCAAGCGUUGUCCGGAUUUAUUGGGCGUAAAGAGCGUGUAGGCGGCUAGAUAGGUCCGUUGUGAAAACUCGAGGCUCAACCUCGAGACGUCGAUGGAAACCAUCUGGCUAGAGUCCGGAAGAGGAGAGUGGAAUUCCUGGUGUAGCGGUGAAAUGCGCAGAUAUCAGGAAGAACACCCGUGGCGAAGGCGGGUCUCUGGGCCGAUACUGACGCUGAGGAGCGAAAGCGUGGGGAGCGAACAGG